rnacentral:tRNA from 1 species
GAGCGUCUCGAUCGGGGUGACGACGCUGCGACCGUCGUCCAGGACGUACUCGUCGACGGCCUCGGCGUUCGGCACCGUCGACGCCCU